CAAGCAGCAAGCCACAUGACUGCUGUCCGAGCUUGUUAAGUUUCUCUCUCCGUUUUGUGAAGACUGAUGUGCGUCUAUAUGAAUUGAUGAUCACAUCUGAUACUGAGGAAGUGAGGAACCUGACCCUCUAGUGGACUUCACUGGAACAUCACUGAUCUCUUUCCAAUCACAGGACUGCUGAGGAGUGACUCCGGGAUUCAUACUGUCGACUCUAAAAAAGGAAACUUUUUCUUUACAUCUUACAAACUCACAGUGUGCAGUAUGAGUGUGUAUCACAUCCUGCAGUGAACAGACUGAGUGUGAGCGCUGAGAGCUGCAUCUUGCUGUGUUCUGUGGAGAAAGCUGAAGAGACAACACUGUUGUGGUACAAAGACGAGGAGAUACUGAACCAGAGCAGCUCUGCUCUCUCUCUGCCUCUCACUGUACACAAGCAGGAUUUCAGCUCCUCUUAUAGAUGUGUGGCUGCCAACGCUGCUGAAAAUAAGACUGUUGUAGCUGAUAUAAAGACAUUCUGUGGACAAAACAACACAGACAACACAAGUAUUCAACAUUCUGUUUCUAAAGGUUCAUACUCUCAAUGAAACAUAAUGUUUCAGUGUAUUUUACUGGUGUUCAUGUUCAAUGCGUCUGACAGGUGACAGUAACACAUGUCUCUGGCUGUUCAUCGUGGUGUUUGGGAGUUCUGUUGCUGUUUUUUGACAAACAUGAAGAGAAAGAGAGACACUGUGACAGCUGCACCAUCAGCUCUACACUGAGCAAAAAUCAUCUUUCAGAAGACAGAGUGGAGCUAAAUUGAUGAGCUCUUCUUGUAUGUGACUCCAUCAUUUAUAAAUCAAAAAGAAAACAAUCCAACUGACAUUUUCAAAUGAACUUGAAAAAUAAAGUGGUAAGGUUCAUCAUUGUAACACACUCUCCUGGUUGUGUUUCUUUGUCUUCAGUUUAUAAACUUAUCAUCAACAAUUUAAACCAAAGUUCUAAAUAUAAAUAAGAGUUUACUGAAUGAUUGCACAUGACUGUUGGUGUGUGACACUGAUGAGAAAACCUUUUCUGUGGGCCACUUAACACAAGUGGGUAACACGUGGUAUUCAGCGGCAGUCACAGUUUACUGUGCUUUGUGUCAUAUGAUCCACAAUGUGGUCAAACAACCACAGUUUGAAAGAGAUGCUCUAGCUGCACUUUGAUUUCUGCUCAGACAUGACAUGAACAAGCAGCCAAGCAGGGUCAGAGGUCACCAUGGAGUUAUAUGUGAGGAUUACCAUCUUUUUUAUAGGUAAACUUUUAACUACAUAACUGAUGGCUCUUUACCUGAUCAGGGCGUCUGAAGGGUGGAAUGAUAUAUUUUAUAUAUUAUAUAAUUAUAUAUUUUUGUGAUUUUAGAGGUCUUUUUAAAUGAAUGUGUGCAGUGUUGUUGUACUGUUUGAUAACUGUAUGACAGUUUGUAUUAUUAAAAGUCUGGUAACACUUUUUUUUUUUUAAAUUUUACAAGUCCCUUCAUUUUAUAAUAAAUUGCUGAGUAAUGGUAAUUUAACAGUAAAUGUUUAAGACAUUUUACAGAAUGGUGGAAUUUGUUAUGAGUUAUAAGAAAAAACAGAAACAAGAGUUAAGUUGGUUUAGUUGGUAAGUGGUAAAUUGUUAAUUAGCUAAAUUUAUUCUCAGUGCGUAGUUUUGUGUGUCAAAUUAUAUAUAUUAGCAUAAGAGUUUUUAAAAAAAAAUAAAGGUAGCUGGCAUUUAUUUGAGCUAUUAAGAAAGAAUGUGUGUAAAUAACUGAGAAAGAGCAGCAAUGUCUGUGUAGUCUAUGAUGUGUCAUUUUUAAGCUAAACUGUAUUGUGGAAUUAAUGCAGUUUAAGCAUGAAUUUUGAAUGACUAAAACUUUAAAAAAAGGUUUGAUCAGCUACAGUAUCUCUAAACCAAUAUGAACAUUCAAUGUACUGCUGUGGCAGAUCAUAUUUAGACAUACAGUUUUUGUGGACACUGCUACGACAUCACAGAUUUGAAGGUUUUUUAAGUAAAAGCUUCUAAACGGAGGAAUCACAUGUACAGAACAGAAGCAGUGUGCAAUCAUCAGUAAGCAUCAUUAUCUAUAGUCUAUAAUCUAUCUAUCAUUUAAUAGUUCCUUAAUCUCAGAGGAAGUGCCAGCAUUGUUACGAGAUAGAAGGAACACAAAACUGUUUGGGAUGAAUCAGAGAUAUACAAAGUCUGAUUUAUGCUUCAAAUGUUAUCACUCCAUUGAAUGUGCAUUAUCAGUGGUUCUCAGCCUUAUAGAUAUAGGUUAGAAGGGACCUGCUACACCUACUAGUAGGUUAAGCAGGGUGUUAUCAUCAUCACCUUUGAGUUACAGAAACCAUCUAGUGCAUAACGCCAAUUCAAUCGAG